rnacentral:rRNA from 1 species
UACGUAGGGUGCGAGCGUUGUUCGGAAUUAUUGGGCGUAAAGGGCGCGUAGGCGGUGCGGUAAGUCUGUAGUGAAAUCUCUGGGCUCAACUCAGAGUCUGCUAUAGAAACUGCCGUGCUUGAGUGUGGGAGAGGUGAGUGGAAUUCCUGGUGUAGCGGUGAAAUGCGUAGAUAUCAGGAGGAACACCUGUGGCGAAAAGCGGCUCACUGGACCAUAACUGACGCUGAUGCACGAAAAGCUAGGGGGAGCAAAACAGG